rnacentral:rRNA from 1 species
CGUGAGACAGGUGCUGCAUGGCUGUCGUCAGCUCGUGUUGUGAAAUGUUGGGUUAAGUCCCGCAACGAGCGCAACCCUUAUCCUUUGUUGCCAGCGGUCCGGCCGGGAACUCAAAGGAGACUGCCAGUGAUAAACUGGAGGAAGGCGGGGAUGACGUCAAGUCAUCAUGGCCCUUACGACCAGGGCUACACACGUGCUACAAUGGCGCAUACAAAGAGAAGCGACCUCGCGAGAGUAAGCGGACCUCAUAAAGUGCGUCGUAGUCCGGAUUGGAGUCUGCAACUCGACUCCAUGAAGUCGGAAUCGCUAGUAAUCGUGGAUCAGAAUGCCACGGUGAAUACGUUCCCGGGCCUUGUACACACCGCCCGUCACACCAUGGGAGUGGGUUGCAAAAGAAGUAGGUAGCUUAACCUUCGGGAGGGCGCUUACCACUUUGUGAUUCAUGACUGGGGUGAAGUCGUAACAAGGUAACCGUAGGGGAACCUGCGGCUGGAUCACCUC